AUAAUACUCCCUCCGUUCGGAAUUACUUGUCUCGGAAAUGGAUGUAUCUAGAACUAAAAUAUGUCUAGAUACAUCUAUUUCUGCGACAAGUAAUUCCGAACGAAGGGAGUACUCU
rnacentral:pre_miRNA from 1 species